rnacentral:rRNA from 1 species
AACGCUAGCGACAGGCUUAACACAUGCAAGUCGAGGGGCAGCACAGGUAGCAAUACCGGGUGGCGACCGGCGCACGGGUGAGUAACGCGUAUGCAACUUGCCUAUCAGAGGGGGAUAACCCGGCGAAAGUCGGACUAAUACCGCAUGAAGCAGGGGCCCCGCAUGGGGAUAUUUGCUAAAGAUUCAUCGCUGAUAGAUAGGCAUGCGUUCCAUUAGGCAGUUGGCGGGGUAACGGCCCACCAAACCGACGAUGGAUAGGGGUUCUGAGAGGAAGGUCCCCCACAUUGGUACUGAGACACGGACCAAACUCCUACGGGAGGCAGCAGUGAGGAAUAUUGGUCAAUGGCCGAGAGGCUGAACCAGCCAAGUCGCGUGAGGGAUGAAGGUUCUAUGGAUCGUAAACCUCUUUUAUAAGGGAAUAAAGUGCGGGACGUGUCCCGUUUUGUAUGUACCUUAUGAAUAAGGAUCGGCUAACUCCGUGCCAGCAGCCGCGGUAAUACGGAGGAUCCGAGCGUUAUCCGGAUUUAUUGGGUUUAAAGGGUGCGUAGGCGGCCUUUUAAGUCAGCGGUGAAAGUCUGUGGCUCAACCAUAGAAUUGCCGUUGAAACUGGGGGGCUUGAGUAUGUUUGAGGCAGGCGGAAUGCGUGGUGUAGCGGUGAAAUGCAUAGAUAUCACGCAGAACCCCGAUUGCGAAGGCAGCCUGCCAAGCCAUUACUGACGCUGAUGCACGAAAGCGUGGGGAUCAAACAGGAUUAGAUACCCUGGUAGUCCACGCAGUAAACGAUGAUCACUAGCUGUUUGCGAUACACUGUAAGCGGCACAGCGAAAGCGUUAAGUGAUCCACCUGGGGAGUACGCCGGCAACGGUGAAACUCAAAGAAAUUGACGGGGGCCCGCACAAGCGGAGGAACAUGUGGUUUAAUUCGAUGAUACGCGAGGAACCUUACCCGGGUUUAAACGCAUUCGGACCGAGGUGGAAACACCUCUUCUAGCAAUAGCCGUUUGCGAGGUGCUGCAUGGUUGUCGUCAGCUCGUGCCGUGAGGUGUCGGCUUAAGUGCCAUAACGAGCGCAACCCUUGCCACUAGUUACUAACAGGUAAAGCUGAGGACUCUGGUGGGACUGCCAGCGUAAGCUGCGAGGAAGGCGGGGAUGACGUCAAAUCAGCACGGCCCUUACAUCCGGGGCGACACACGUGUUACAAUGGCGUGGACAAAGGGAGGCCACCUGGCGACAGGGAGCGAAUCCCCAAACCACGUCUCAGUUCGGAUCGGAGUCUGCAACCCGACUCCGUGAAGCUGGAUUCGCUAGUAAUCGCGCAUCAGCCAUGGCGCGGUGAAUACGUUCCCGGGCCUUGUACACACCGCCCGUCAAGCCAUGGGAGCCGGGGGUACCUGAAGUCCGUAACCGAAAGGAUCGGCCUAGGGUAAAACUGGUGACUGGGG